ensembl:lncRNA
UUGUUCUUCUUCUCUGGUUUUGGUUGGAUUGUGUCGUCUGUUCUUCUCUGGUUUUGGUUGGAUUGUUUCAUCUGUUCUUCUUCUCUGGUUUUGGUUAGAUUGUGUCGUCUGCUCUUCUUCUCUGGUUUUGGUUGGAUUGUGUCGUCUGUUCUUCUUCUCUGGUUUUGGUUGGAUUGUGUCGUCUGUUCUUCUUCUCUGGUUUUGGUUGGAUUGUUUCAUCUGUUCUUCUUCUCUGGUUUUGGUUAGAUCGUGUCUUCUGCUCUUCUUCUCUGGUUUUGGUUAGAUUGUGUCGGAGCCGCAGUCCAGACGCUCGCUCCUCCCCCCCCAGAGGCCCCUCCCCUCAGCCCGGCCAGAGCGCCGGUGGCCUACCUGAGUCCGGCCCGCUCAGGCCCCCGCGAGGCCCCCCGCCGGCCUGCUGGUCAUGAUGCCCGCCUCCGCCGCCGCCGCCGGGCCCACACCGGCCGCCGUCAAGGUGACGGCCGUGCCCCCCCUCAAAGUACUCAGACCCGUGCCGGGAGCCAAACCAAACUCAGCCUCAUCUCCCUUUCGAAAAUGACCUCGUCUGUCGAAGCACAGCGACACCACCACCUCCUCCUCCUCCUCCUCCUCCUCCUCCACCUCCUCCUCCUCGGAUGACCCCACUCUGGGGUGAGAAGGCAGCAAACGCACGGCCUAUUUGCACUAACAGAGAGUACAGACACCUCUUGGAGGGG